rnacentral:rRNA from 1 species
GACGAACGCUGGCGGCGUGCCUAAUACAUGCAAGUCGAGCGGACUGAUUAAGAGCUUGCUCUUAUGACGUUAGCGGCGGACGGGUGAGUAACACGUGGGCAACCUGCCCUGUAGAUCGGGAUAACACCGAGAAAUCGGUGCUAAUACCGGGUAAUAUCUGAGAUCACAUGAUCUUAGGUUAAAAGAUGGCUCCGGCUAUCACUACAGGAUGGGCCCGCGGCGCAUUAGCUAGUUGGUAAGGUAAUGGCUUACCAAGGCGACGAUGCGUAGCCGACCUGAGAGGGUGAUCGGCCACACUGGGACUGAGACACGGCCCAGACUCCUCCGGGAGGCAGCAGUAGGGAAUCUUCCGCAAUGGACGAAAGUCUGACGGAGCAACGCCGCGUGAGUGAUGAAGGGGUUCGGCUCGUAAAGCUCUGUUGUUAGGGAAGAAACAGUACCGAACGAACUAGGUCGGUACCUUGACGGUACCUAACCAGAAAGCCGCGGCUAACUACGUG